CAGCCAAUGAAUGAGUUUCUGGCUUCUCACAUUUGAGAAUACUAGAUGCAGCACCGGCACCUGGCAGGACCAAGGCAAGUGUAAUGUAAAAUUGUGCUAAAAUAGUUUGACAGAUUAUGCUAGGGCAGCUCCAAUGGAUUUCUAGCACCAUAAACAAUAUGUUGGGCUGUAGUGAUUAUUGUGGCAGAGAGAACACUCUGGAAUAGUGUGCAAAUACCAGGAGCUGACCUGUGAUUAUGGC